AUGUUGUACAAGUAUUCGAUAAGUCCCCAGCGUUUAAAGAUGGACGAAUUCGAUGUGGCGAUGAGAUUGUUGCAAUUAAUGGAAUUACAGUCAAAGGAGAGAGAAAAUCAGCAGUUGCACAAUUGAUUCAAGUUAGCUUGAAUCCUGUUAAGAUAACGAUAAACAAAUUGGAAGAAGCUAAUACAAAAGGAAAAACUCUUGAUAUUUUAAUCAAAAAAGUGAAACAUAAAGUCGUGGAAUUUGUGGAUCAAGAUUCAGCUGACGCAUUGGGAUUAUCACGGGCAAUUCUAACGAAUGAUCCAUUGGCUGAAAAAGAGAAAAUAUUAGAGGAAAAUGCAGAGUUCUAUAGGCAUUUGGUUGCUUAUUUUGGAGACAUGUUUCAGUAUCAGCAAAAAAUUUCCGAGUGCCAAAAAGAAUUCGGUUCAAUAUUCUGUGACCUGGCGGCUCAUGAGAAACAACAAACUGCAAAUGAAGCAUUCAGCUCAUUCGGCGACAAACAUCGAAUGAUUGCAAAAAAACAAUCCGAAUCAGCAGUUCCACUUCAGAAAAUGGUAUCAGAUUUGCAAGUUUAUAUUGAUCACGUUGUACCGGACACUCGUUUGACGAUUAAAAAAUAUUUGGAUGUGAAAUAUGAAUAUUUGUCGUAUUGCUUGAAACUGAAAGAAAUGGAUGACGAGGAAGUGGAAUUUGUGGCAAUUCAGGAGCCGCUGUAUCGAGUUGAAACUGGAAAUUAUGAAUAUAGAGUAAUGCUCCGUUGCCGUCAAGAGUGCCGUGCUCGGUUUAUGAAAAUGCGUGAUGACGUCAUGGUGAAAAUCGAGCUGCUCGAUCAAAAACACGUCAGAGAUAUUGCUCAACACCUAGCGAUCUUUGCAAAAACUAUGGCAAAAUGUCAACAGGAAUGUGCAGAAAUACUGAAAGAACGGAUUGAUGUACCAAUUGAAAUUGAUUUGGAACAGUUGAAUUUAAAUAUGAAUACAAGUGAUGGAAAAGCAAAUGGAGAAGAGGAAAUGGGACAAGAUGCAAUAGUUUUGAAUGAUAAUCCAUUGGAAGGCGAUCUGAUUGAUGUGAAUGACAUAGGAUCAUCUACAGAAUUCAAUGAACCUCGAAUAUCUCUCCGCCGUGAUUCUCAAAACGACACUUCUCAGCCACUAUUGGGAGCACCGGAUUCACCAUUGGAAGAGCUCUCGUUAAUUGAUAUUAGUUAG
rnacentral:misc_RNA from 1 species